rnacentral:rRNA from 1 species
CCUACGGGAGGCAGCAGUGAGGAAUUUUGCGCAAUGGGGGAAACCCUGACGCAGCGACGCCGCGUGGAGGACGAAGGCCUUCGGGUCGUAAACUCCUGUCAAGAGGGACGAAUGCCGUCGGGACGAAUACGCCCGGCGGUUGACGGUACCUUUGAAGGAAGCCCCGGCUAACUCCGUGCCAGCAGCCGCGGUAAUACGGGGGGGGCCAGCGUUGUUCGGAAUUAUUGGGCGUAAAGGGCGCGUAGGCGGCCUGGUAAGUCGGGCGUGAAAUCCCGCGGCUCAACCGCGGAACUGCGCUCGAAACUGCCUGGCUCGAGUCCCGGAGAGGGUAGCGGAAUUCCCAGUGUAGCGGUGAAAUGCGUAGAUAUCAGGAGGAACACCAGUGGCGAAGGCGGCUUUCUGGACUGACACUGACGCUGAGGAGCGAAAGCCAGGGGAGCGAACGGGAUUAGAUACCCCGGUAGUCCUGGCCGUAAACGAUGGGCACUAGGUGUGGGAGGUUCGACCCCUUCCGUGCCGCAGUUAACGCAUUAAGUGCCCCGCCUGGGGAGUACGACCGCAAGGUUGAAACUCAAAGGAAUGACGG